AGGGGGCUAGCGUUGCUCGGAAUCACUGGGCGUAAAGGGUGCGUAGGCGGGCCUUUAAGUCAGGGGUGAAAUCCUGGAGCUCAACUCCAGAACUGCCUUUGAUACUGAGGAUCUUGAGUUCGGGAGAGGUGAGUGGAACUGCGAGUGUAGAGGUGAAAUUCGUAGAUAUUCGCAAGAACACCAGUGGCGAAGGCGGCUCACUGGCCCGAUACUGACGCUGAGGCACGAAAGCGUGGGGAGCAAACAGG
rnacentral:rRNA from 1 species